UCCAAGAUGGCGGCUAGUAGAUCCUCCGAAUUGAAGACCGCGGCCAUCGUUGGGCCCCAGGGCGGGUUUUUAGAAAGGAGGAAAGGCCGCUGUGGAGGAGGCGGGCGUGAGUCGCGUGCUCCCCGGAGCGCCGGUAGGCCCUCUUGUCCGCCUUGUACAACAGCCUUGCGAGGUCAGCCUUGGUAAGGCCUGAGGAAGUCAAGCCAAGCUGGAUGGAGUCAAAGAGUGAAGCCCAGUGUCCCUAUUCCUUCUCCUGCUUCUGCAGGUCAAGAGGGGAAGAUGAUCCGCUUCUACUGCAGGCUUUGUUAGUGCAGCUUCAACGACCCAAUGCUAAGGACAUGCACCUCAUGGGACGCCGGCAUUGACUGCACUUUAAGUUUUCAGCACUUGGAUAGUUGAAGUGCCCUGUUCAGCAGUUGGAAUGGUGCAGACCAUGCUCUUCCUGCAUUCCAUGACCCUCUGUGGAAUCCAAAGUUGGAUUUUGAGAAAGCAGGCAAGAGAGACCAUUGGCACUUUUGAACUUCAAUGUUGGAGAAGACCAUGAGCAACCAAGAAAACAAUAGAAUAAAUCAAGCCAGAAUUCUUACUUGAGUCCGCAAUUUCUUUGCCAAUAUUGAGGAACACUAGGCCAGGUGGUGUUCCCCGAAUGUCAACCACAUUUUGGACCUGGUCUGACAGGAAGGGCCAGGAGUGUCCCCAAGGCUCAAUCCUGCUGAAUGGUCAAAGUGACACCUCCAUUGAUGGCACUGAAGCCCAGUGGGGAGAAACACACCUCUGUCUCACAAGGCAUUGACAAUGUCCCCAUGGCAUAAGCCAUGAGUAAUAUCCAGAGAGCCAGUUUGGUGUUUGUUCCCAAGUUCUAAACUAGGAUGUGGUAAGUUCUAGUACUGCCUUAAGGCAUAAAGCAACUGGAAGACUAGGGCUAGUCACUAUGUCUCUGCCCAAGGAAGAAGACAAUGGCAAAGCACUUCUGAAAAAACUUGCCAAGAAAUCUGCAGGGACUUGUCUAGGCAAUCUCUGAAUCUGAAACAAUUGAAUGGAAGAAAAAGUAUUGUCCAUGUCCUUCAGAGUGAUAAAUCCUGAUUAAUCAUGAAAUUGUGGCUUGCUUAUUUGCUGGGUGACCCAAGCUCCAUAGAUUCAUUGUUUGCAGAGAUAUUUCCUUACCUAAAAAGAGAAACGAAAUCACCAAGGGUAAGAAAAAAAAGCAGUGAGAACUUCCAAGCUUCCUCAUUACAUUUUCUUGGAAUCUGGCAGGAAGCAUCAGCAGGCAGGUUAGUGGCUGGAGAGAGAAAAAGGGAUUGCAAGACUGGCUGGGAAACUGUCAUGGAACAUUGAAAAUGAAGACCGAGUGACCUUCAGCAGCCAGUAGCAUUGAAGUAGCAACAGCUUUCCCAAAUGUCAGUCCCUCGGGAGUCCUGGAUUUUGGACGCCUUCUGUAAGUUAGCCCAUCUGAGGUACGUUGGUGCAAAAAUUGUUGCCCUGUGAUGCACCACUUCACACAGCUAAAGGUCAUCACAAGAAGAGUUUUGGUAUGUAGUAUUCUGUUUUCGGUGCUGCUCAGCAGCACAUAUUCUCUGAACCAGCUGAAAUUUCCAAAUUACUCCUGUAGCUAUUCAAGCCUAAAAAGUAUAGAAUAUUGGCCAUGCAGAUCCAGGUUUAGGAUCUCGGUCAGCAUUCCUGGAUAGGGUCAAUCAGUCUGUGCAUGUCUGCGUGUGUUAAUAAAACAUUAAAGUUU